UGACAUGCGGUGAAUGUG
rnacentral:misc_RNA from 1 species